CAGGAUGGACCCGCGUCUGAUUAGCUAGUUGGUAAGGUAACGGCUUACCAAGGCGACGAUCAGUAGCCGACCUGAGAGGGUGAUCGGCCACAUUGGAACUGAGACACGGUCCAAACUCCUACGGGAGGCAGCAGUGGGGAAUAUUGCACAAUGGGCGAAAGCCUGAUGCAGCAACGCCGCGUGAGUGAUGAAGGCCUUCGGGUCGUAAAACUCUGUCCUCAAGGAAGAUAAUGACGGUACUUGAGGAGGAAGCCCCGGCUAACUACGUGCCAGCAGCCGCGGUAAUACGUAGGGGGCUAGCGUUAUCCGGAUUUACUGGGCGUAAAGGGUGCGUAGGCGGUCUUUCAAGUCAGGAGUGAAAGGCUACGGCUCAACCGUAGUAAGCUCUUGAAACUGGGAGACUUGAGUGCAGGAGAGGAGAGUGGAAUUCCUAGUGUAGCGGUGAAAUGCGUAGAUAUUAGGAGGAACACCAGUUGCGAAGGCGGCUCUCUGGACUGUAACUGACGCUGAGGCACGAAAGCGUGGGGAGCAAACAGGAUUAGAUACCCUGGUAGUCCACGCUG
rnacentral:rRNA from 1 species